CAACAUGGCUAUUUACUCACCUGGGUGCAGGUGGGCUAAGGCUGAAAAGGGCAUUAGCAAAGGGCAGUGAGAUAGGAGUUAGUUUUAUAGGUUUGAGGUGGGCGGUGGAAACUACACACAUUACUUUAGGGUGUUU